rnacentral:rRNA from 1 species
UACGAAGGGGGCUAGCGUUGCUCGGAAUCACUGGGCGUAAAGGUGCGUAGGCGGGUCUUUAAGUCAGGGGUGAAAUCCUGGAGCUCAACUCCAGAACUGCCUUUGAUACUGAAGAUCUUGAGUUCGGGAGAGGUGAGUGGAACUGCGAGUGUAGAGGUGAAAUUCGUAGAUAUUCGCAAGAACACCAGUGGCGAAGGCGGCUCACUGGCCCGAUACUGACGCUGAGGCACGAAAGCGUGGGGAGCAA